AUGGCGACGUCGACUCCGGCGCCGUGGUCUGAACUCCCGCAUGACGUACUAGACCUCAUCAUCGACCGCCUCGUGUCCUCUCCUCCACGGAGAGGCUUCUUCCCCUCGGCGUGGUCGCUAGUCCGAUGGGUCCUUGGUUUCUCCGCUGACUUCGAGAAGGUGCGACGUGACCGUCAUUGGGUCUCUGCCGCUGAUCGAGCCCGCUUCCGUGCGGUGUGCCGUUCGUGGCAUCUGGCUAUGCGCCGGCACCUUUCGGCUUCACGGCAGCUACCCUGGAUUGUCAUGUCAGACGGCUCGUUCUACACACCUUCGGACGAUGUUUGCACCUCGCCGCCCCGGCUCCCCACCUUGCCCAGCAACACAACGUGCAUUGGCUCCACCGACGAUUGGCUCACCAUUGACUUCACCGACGCCAAGAAGAUGCAUAGCUACUCCUUGCACAAUCCGUUUACUGGCAUCACCGUGCCGCUCCCCGAGCUGGAUGCUGUCAUCGGCGAUGUUUCCGAGCUUUUCAUGGUUCGUAAAGUGCUCCUACGGUCAACGCCUUCUGACAUCAUCGCUGUCAUGACGAAUAGCCGCAAUCGCCCUCUCAUCUUAAUCCGGACGGGGAAGGGUGUGUGGUUGCCUGAGCCACAAACUGGUCCCUUCAUCUACAUCGUUGACAUUGCUUUUCUUGGAGAUAAAUUAUAUGGAAUCACGGAGGCAGAGGACCUUGUCUCCCUCAGUAUAGAUUUUGAUAGCGAUGGUAUACCCACCGUUACUAGCAUCGAACGCCUCAUUAGACACCCACCAGGUUAUUAUCAUUUUGGCGUGUGGAGUGAUGAUGAUGAUAAUUCUGAGUCCGGAAUCAAUGAUGUGGGCACUAAGGACAAGGUCACGAAUAUUGAUGAAGGCCAUAUCGAGGUACCGAGCAAGGAAGAUUCCGAGGAGCACGCCUUAGAUGAACUUGAGAAGAAAACCGACGACGACGUGAUUCUUGAAGGCGCAACAUGUUGGAUAGAUGAUGAGGUGCCAUAUGAACCUAAGGAUUUCAUCACCCUCAAUCGGCACUUGGUUAAGUCAUGUGGGAAACUGCUAAUGGUGAAGCGACAAUUGCAUUGGCCUUCUUAUAGUAUCAACUUCACCCGCAAGGUGGAGGUUUAUGAGGCGGAUGUCAAUGGAGACGCGCACUGGGUGCCGAUUUCAGGUGGGCUGGGCAGUCAAGCGCUUUUCAUCAGCAGAUUCUUCUGCAAGUCCAUUUCUACUCGUGAAGACGUGGACCAAGAUGCUCUUCAUUUUAUUGACACGGGCGAGAAAUACGAUAUGAAAUCCCAAAGUCUGAGCCCCAGCUGGAAGGAGAUUGACUACCAUGGGUCAACGUGGAUAUUUUCUCCCGAGCUAGUGGUUUAA
rnacentral:rRNA from 1 species